rnacentral:rRNA from 1 species
CCUACGGGUGGCUGCAGUGGGGAAUAUUGGACAAUGGGCGAAAGCCUGAUCCAGCCAUGCCGCGUGUGUGAAGAAGGCCUUCGGGUUGUAAAGCACUUUCAGUGGGGAAGAAAGCCUUGGGGCUAAUACCCUCGAGGAAGGACAUCACCCACAGAAGAAGCACCGGCUAACUCCGUGCCAGCAGCCGCGGUAAUACGGAGGGUGCGAGCGUUAAUCGGAAUUACUGGGCGUAAAGCGCGCGUAGGCGGUCUGAUAAGCCGGUUGGGAAAGCCCCGGGCUCAACCUGGGAACGGCAUCCGGAACUGUCAGGCUAGAGUGCAGGAGAGGAAGGUAGAAUUCCCGGUGUAGCGGUGAAAUGCGUAGAGAUCGGGAGGAAUACCAGUGGCGAAGGCGGCCUUCUGGACUGACACUGACGCUGAGGUGCGAAAGCGUGGGUAGCAAACAGGAUUAGAUACCCCGGUAGUC